GCAGCAGUGUGGACUCACAGGGAGGCCAGAGUGGUCACACUGAGCAAACCCCCAAACCCAGGAAGUCAAAACACAGCCCUACACUGGUGCAGCUCACCGACAACCAGGACGCACAUGCAGUGAAGGAAUGUGUUGCUGAGAGAUCUGGAGAAAACCACAUGGAUACAUUUCAGAAAGGGAAUGACAUUUCAAGAAAUCAUGGCCUUCCUU